rnacentral:rRNA from 1 species
UACGAAGGGUGCAAACGUUGCUCGGAAUCAUUGGGCGUAAAGCGCACGUAGGCGGCUUUGCAAGUCGGGUGUGAAAUCCCCAGGCCUAACCUGGGAACUGCAUUCGAGACUGCAUGGCUAGAGUAUCGGAGAGGGAAGUGGAAUUUCAGGUGUAGCGGUGAAAUGCGUAGAUAUCUGAAGGAACAUCAGCGGCGAAAGCGACUUCCUGGACGAAUACUGACGCUCAUGUGCGAAAGCGUGGGGAGCAAACAGG